CUGCUGCCUUCCGUAGGAGUUUGGACCGUGUCUCGGUUCCAAUGUGGGGGACCUUCCUCUCAGAACCCCUACUGAUCGUCGCCCCGGUGGGCCGUUACCCCGCCGGCAAGCUAAUCAGACGCAUCCCCAUCCUUUACCGGCCGAAGCCUUUGGUCAUGAAAAUAUGCAUCAACAUGACAACAUACGGUAUUAAUCCGCCUUUCGACGGGCUGUCCCAUAGUAAAGGGCAGGUUGGAUACGCGUUACUCACCCGUGCGCCGGUCGCCAUCAA
rnacentral:rRNA from 1 species